rnacentral:rRNA from 1 species
GUGGGGAAUAUUGGACAAUGGGCGAAAGCCUGAUCCAGCCAUGCCGCGUGUGUGAAGAAGGUCUUCGGAUUGUAAAGCACUUUAAGUUGGGAGGAAGGGCAGUAAGUUAAUACCUUGCUGUUUUGACGUUACCGACAGAAUAAGCACCGGCUAACUUCGUGCCAGCAGCCGCGGUAAUACGAAGGGUGCAAGCGUUAAUCGGAAUUACUGGGCGUAAAGCGCGCGUAGGUGGUGUUGUAAGUUGGAGGUGAAAUCCCCGGGCUCAACCUGGGAAAGGCCGCGAAAACUGCAUGACUAGAGUACGGUAGAGGGUAGUGGAAUUUGCUGUGGAGCGGUGAAAUGCGUAGAUAUAGGAAGGAACACCAGUGGCGAAGGCGACUACCUGGGCUGAUACUGACACUGAGGGGCGAAAGCGUGGGGAGCAAACAGGAUUAGAUACCCCAGUAGUCC